rnacentral:rRNA from 1 species
UACAGAGGUCUCAAGCGUUGUCCGGAAUCAUUGGGCGUAAAGGGCGCGUAGGCGGCGGUCACAGUCAGAUGUGAAAUUCCUGGCUUAACCUGGGGGCUGCAUUUGAUACGUGGUUGCUUGAGUGGGGAAGAGGGUCGUGGAAUUCCCAGUGUAGAGGUGAAAUUCGUAGAUAUUGGGAAGAACACCGGUGGCGAAGGCGGCGACCUGGUCCUUGACUGACGCUGAGGCGCGAAAGCGUGGGAGCAAACAGG